rnacentral:rRNA from 2 species
AAGCUUGCUUCUAUGACGUUAGCGGCGGACGGGUGAGUAACACGUGGGCAACCUGCCUGUAAGACUGGGAUAACUCCGGGAAACCGGAGCUAAUACCGGAUAACAUUUUCUCUUGCAUAAGAGAAAAUUGAAAGAUGGUUUCGGCUAUCACUUACAGAUGGGCCCGCGGUGCAUUAGCUAGUUGGUGAGGUAACGGCUCACCAAGGCAACGAUGCAUAGCCGACCUGAGAGGGUGAUCGGCCACACUGGGAAUGAGACACGGCCCAGACUCCUACGGGAGGCAGCAGUAGGGAAUCUUCCGCAAUGGACGAAAGUCUGACGGAGCAACGCCGCGUGAGUGAUGAAGGCUUUCGGGUCGUAAAACUCUGUUGUUAGGGAAGAACAAGUACAAGAGUAACUGCUUGUACCUUGACGGUACCUAACCAGAAAGCCACGGCUAACUACGUGCCAGCAGCCGCGGUAAUACGUAGGUGGCAAGCGUUAUCCGGAAUUAUUGGGCGUAAAGCGCGCGCAGGCGGUUUCUUAAGUCUGAUGUGAAAGCCCACGGCUCAACCGUGGAGGGUCAUUGGAAACUGGGGAACUUGAGUGCAGAAGAGAAAAGCGGAAUUCCACGUGUAGCGGUGAAAUGCGUAGAGAUGUGGAGGAACACCAGUGGCGAAGGCGGCUUUUUGGUCUGUAACUGACGCUGAGGCGCGAAAGCGUGGGGAGCAAACAGGAUUAGAUACCCUGGUAGUCCACGCCGUAAACGAUGAGUGCUAAGUGUUAGAGGGUUUCCGCCCUUUAGUGCUGCAGCUAACGCAUUAAGCACUCCGCCUGGGGAGUACGGUCGCAAGACUGAAACUCAAAGGAAUUGACGGGGGCCCGCACAAGCGGUGGAGCAUGUGGUUUAAUUCGAAGCAACGCGAAGAACCUUACCAGGUCUUGACAUCCUCUGACAACUCUAGAGAUAGAGCGUUCCCCUUCGGGGGACAGAGUGACAGGUGGUGCAUGGUUGUCGUCAGCUCGUGUCGUGAGAUGUUGGGUUAAGUCCCGCAACGAGCGCAACCCUUGAUCUUAGUUGCCAGCAUUAAGUUGGGCACUCUAAGGUGACUGCCGGUGACAAACCGGAGGAAGGUGGGGAUGACGUCAAAUCAUCAUGCCCCUUAUGACCUGGGCUACACACGUGCUACAAUGGAUGGUACAAAGGGCUGCAAGACCGCGAGGUCAAGCCAAUCCCAUAAAACCAUUCUCAGUUCGGAUUGUAGGCUGCAACUCGCCUACAUGAAGCUGGAAUCGCUAGUAAUCGCGGAUCAGCAUGCCGCGGGUGAAUACGUUCCCGGGCCUUGUACACACCGCCCGUCACACCACGAGAGUUUGUAACACCCGAAGUCGGUGGGGUAACCUUUAUGGAGCCAGCCGCCUAAG